rnacentral:lncRNA from 1 species
CUCGGGUACAUUUUAUCUGGUUAACACCAUGGUGGACAUGCCUGCUGUAAGGUGUCCCCUUAGGAAGUAGGCAUUUGCGACCACAGCGGAGGACACGGACCCUGUAAAUGGCAUAACCUUACUUUGCCUUGUAUCCCAGCCUUUGCGCUUCAUCACACCGGGGAUCUGGAGAGCCCUAUGCAGCUCAGAGAGCUGGCGGAAAGAAAACGAGUGGUACACUGAAUGCUCUCUUCCGAGAGAUACAUCCUGGAGGAAGGAAAUAAUGAUGUCACUGGCCAAGGGCCUCAACACAGCCAGAACACCUCUCCACUGUCCCUUUCCCCCAGACCAACUCCUGUCCAUCUCUCCUCAGAAAAGAGCAGGCCUCCAAGAGACAACAAUGAAACACAGGACAACAAGAUACAAUAAAGCAAGUGUGUUAUCACCACCGUGCAACCGUG